CGACAACGGCAUGAUCCGUAUGAAUGAGGGAGGGGGUCAAGAGUUAGAGCGAAAAGACCAAAAAGCCUAAGUCGUGAAACUGGGGGAAAAAGGCUGUAAAAAAGUGCAGCUUGUGAUUUGCACUUGUUUGCCUGCUAACUGUCUGCAGUGAGCUGCCUUUGUGCAGUGGCCAAUGCAGUUGGAAUGAAGGCUAUUGUCUAAAUCCUCCUGCAGAGCACCUGAUAAAAGAAUAAAGAACUAUGACAUAUUCUAAAAACAAUGGAGGAAUUAAGGGGAGACAAUAGGCCAGCUGCCUCAUUAAAACAAUCAAAAACGGCAUCCUGUACGUAGUCCAGAUAAUUAAAAACCACUGCUUCCUACAGUCUCUCAAUACCAUAUCCACCAGCUCACUGAGGCCCUGAGACUAUGGCUCUGCUGGCUAAAUGCCCUCUUCCCUCUCUUCCCUUUGAUUAAUGCUUUAUUUGAACACGCAGUUGAAGAUGAACAUAUGAAGGAAUUCAUGAAACGAAAUUAUAAUGCAAACCCUUUUCUGCCCUAUAAGUACUUAUAAACUAAUCAAAUGUCUCAGGAUGAAUCGCAGGGACUCAGGGCGUGUGUCCCCUCCCCUUUGCCUAAAGCCCCGAGAGAUUUCAAAGUGCAGGCAUCACAGGACAUUUUUUAAUUUUCUCACUUUAAAUGACUUUAUAAGAAAGCGGAUGUGUACAGUAUCUGUAUAUGUAUGGGGGAGGCAGAGAGAAUAGAGUAUGAGAUACUUGAGCAGGAAUAAUUUUUCUUUUUUUUUGCUCCCUGCAAACGGCUACCACCACCAUAUCUUAAUGAAGCCGCAAACAAAUCUCUCAUGCCUCGUGCAAAAGCUGAGAGACAACAAAGCAGCAGAAAUAACAGAAGGGCCCGGAUAAUUAAACUGGCCUGAAGACAGGUAUUCAAAUGUUGGUGUGUAAACAGCACAACUCUUUAAUAGUUUAGCUGUAAAAUGCGUAGUUAAGCACAUCAGCACUUGCCUCUCCCAUCUGUCCAAACACAUUACCGUUGCAGAGGCCAUUACAGCACUGGAGUACAGUCCCACUGCACCACAGCCACAUAUUAUGGGAGGGGUUGAAUGGGGCUUCUGGGAAAACUAACAGUGGCCCGUUGGCAUUACCUGAAUGCAUCGCGGGGUCGUGUAUUAUAAAGCGUCAUGGUGCACCUUGAGAAAUGGGAGAGGUUGCGAACAAGGUCUGUUACAUACGCUCGCACAGAAGUCCUUGAUGGCCAUUUUACAUUUAUGGAUACUUUUAUAUUUAAAAAAGCAAAACUCUGAAACAAAUUAAAUGUGUAACUCGUAUUUGUCUUUGUCAAGCCUUUUCUCCUUGGUUUGGCUAUUCCCUCCCUUAAAGUUCUCGUCUCUGUCUUUUGGCCCUGCACUAACUGCUGGUCUUAAUUGUGAAGUGAGGCUAGUGGUGCCUGAAGCCACACAGAGGGUUGUAAUUAAAGACCUCUACUCUUCUUGUCUUCAAAUCAGCUCCAACUCCUCCUGGUCAAAUGGGAACGAGCUCCUCGCACCUACGAAUAUCAAGUAGCUGCACGUCGUUAACCGCGGCUUCUUUAUUUAACAAAGCUUUAUCACAGGAGGGGUAAAUGACAGCACAGUCACAUGAGCAAAACAACUUCCCAGUCAACUUCCGUGGAUCUUGUGAAAAUAUUUAUCGCAAACGGUGGAUGAAUAAUAUCUGUAUCUGCACCUGACAGCAGACGGUGUUACGACAAACACUAAACAAAUCCUCCUCAUGAAUACUGGUAAAUAUUUGGACUGUUUCUGGAUCAUCAGAGUUGAACACAUUAGGAUGACUCAUGGCUGUCAACCACGCUGUCACAAUCCCUGGCCGGAGCAAGCAAGCAGCAGAAAGGAAAAUGCUGAGUUAGACCCGAGCGGGAACAUCAUUCACAGGGUCAAACAAGCUUACUAUUAUUGACGGUACACUAAACUAGAAUUAGCUGACUCUACUAUUAUUUCACUAAGGCACUGACACAGAUUGACUCUCUCCCUCUCUAUCUCUCCUUCACUCUCUUCCACCUCCUCCUUCUCAUGAUUUGUCUCGGCCACUAGGAGGCACUCUUCUCAUGCUCAAGCUGCGAGCCGGUGGGUGUUUUUUGCUGUGAUGAUGCAGAGACGCCUCAGACAUGGCAGAGCAGCUUAGACGCCAGUCUGCCUAUACAUCCUUGCAGGUUUGUCCCAUUGAGCACUCUAUUAGCUAUCCUUCUCCGCGGGUAGUGCUGCCUGUGUCCUGGUUGUGGCCGGUCGACAUGUGUUUACUGCGGCCCCUGCUGCGGCAGCAGGCUGGUUGGGGGCCCGUCCUGACCAAGCCCUGCUAAUGGGACCAGAAGACCCCUCCUGACAGGGCGCCGCUGUGUUGAGCACCGCAGCAGACCCUACCCCUCCCUCCCCUCCAGCUGCGGCCUUGUGGCCCAUGUCCCCCUACCCAUCAUGCCUCGGCGGGAGCAGGUGAACGGCGGAGGGCCA